GCCAUGCUUAUCAGUGGGCCAGAUGGG
rnacentral:piRNA from 1 species